UACGUAGGGUGCGAGCGUUGUCCGGAAUUAUUGGGCGUAAAGAGCUCGUAGGCGGUGUGUCACGUCGGCCGUGAAAACCUGCAGCUUAACUGUGGGCUUGCGGUCGAUACGGGCAUCACUGGAGUUCGGCAGGGGAGACUGGAAUUCCUGGGUGUAGCGGUGAAAUGCGCAGAUAUCAGGAGGAACACCGGUGGCGAAGGCGGGGUCUCUGGGCCGAAUAACUGACGCUGGAGGAGCGAAAGCGUGGGGAGCGAAACAGG
rnacentral:rRNA from 1 species